rnacentral:rRNA from 1 species
AUACGAAGGGGGCUAGCGUUGUUCGGAAUCACUGGGCGUAAAGCGCACGUAGGUGGACUAAUUAGUUGAGGGUGAAAUCCCGGGGCUUAACCUCGGAACUGCCUUCAAUACUGUUAGUCUUGAGUCCGAGAGAGGUGAGUGGAAUUCCUAGUGUAGAGGUGAAAUUCGUAGAUAUUAGGAAGAACACCAGUGGCGAAGGCGGCUCACUGGCUCGGUACUGACGCUGAGGUGCGAAAGCGUGGGGAGCAAACAGGAUUAGAUACCCUAGUAGUCC